CCUACGGGGGGCAGCAGUGGGGAAUAUUGGACAAUGGGGGAAACCCUGAUCCAGCAAUGCCGCGUGAGUGAUGAAGGCCUAGGGUUGUAAAGCUCUUUUACCCGGGAGACUGUACCGGGAGAAUAAGCCCCGGCUAACUCCGUGCCAGCAGCCGCGGUAAUACGGAGGGGGCUAGCGUUGUUCGGAAUUACUGGGCGUAAAGCGCACGUAGGCGGUUUGUAAGUUAGAGGUGAAAGCCCGGGGCUCAACCCCGGAAUAGCCUUUAAGACUGCAUCUUGAACGUCGGAGAGGUAGUGGAAUUCCGAGUGUAGAGGUGAAAUUCGUAGAUAUUCGGAAGAACACCAGUGGCGAAGGCGGCUCACUGGCGCUGUUGACGCUGAGGUGCGAAAGCGUGGGGAGCAAACAGGAUUAGAUACCCUUGUAGUC
rnacentral:rRNA from 1 species